CUAUCAUUAUUUCCAAAGAAUAGAAGUACAAAAAAGAAUGAUGUCUGAUGGCUUACGAUACUUUGAAGCAAAUCUCCUAAACAUACUAUGACAGUGAGUCUAUUUCAUGUCUACGCAGCAGUUAAUGUUUUAGAGACUUCUCAAGUAAAUGGUUUCAAAAUUAAAUGUGAGUGAAAUUCGGCCUAAAGCAAGGAGUUUCCCAUCCCAUUCUGAAAAUGUUAAUAAGAAG